rnacentral:snRNA from 1 species
UGCACGGGCCGGCUCAACCCG